rnacentral:rRNA from 1 species
GUGGGGAAUCUUGCGCAAUGGGCGAAAGCCUGACGCAGCCAUGCCGCGUGAAUGAUGAAGGUCUUAGGAUUGUAAAAUUCUUUCACCGGGGACGAUAAUGACGGUACCCGGAGAAGAAGCUCCGGCUAACUUCGUGCCAGCAGCCGCGGUAAUACGAAGGGGGCUAGCGUUGCUCGGAAUUACUGGGCGUAAAGGGAGCGUAGGCGGACAUUUAAGUCAGGGGUGAAAUCCCGAGGCUCAACCUCGGAACUGCCUUUGAUACUGGGUGUCUUGAGUGUGAGAGAGGUGAGUGGAACUCCGAGUGUAGAGGUGAAAUUCGUAGAUAUUCGGAAGAACACCAGUGGCGAAGGCGACUCACUGGCUCAUUACUGACGCUGAGGCUCGAAAGCGUGGGGAGCAAACAGGAUUAGAUACCCUUGUAGUCC